CUUAGCAGCCAUAGCGAGUUGGACCCACUCCUUCCCAUUCCGAACAGGACAGUGAAACGACUCAGCGCCGAUGAUAGUGCGGACUACCCGCGCGAAAGUAGGACACUGCUAGGC
rnacentral:rRNA from 1 species